rnacentral:lncRNA from 1 species
CUGCAGCCCUGGGGCCCGGGAGGACUGCGGCCGCGGAACGUCGUAGAGGAUCAGGGAAGGUUCAGGGUCGACCUCCAGACUCAGUCCUUGGGUUGGGUGGCAGGGUGGGGGCACUAGGGUGGGGAGAUCUCGAGUUUAGGCCAUAAAAAAGAUCAGAAAGAGAAGAGCCCGAGAGAGAGGUGGCCCACCUUGGCCCCGGAGCUUGGGAGGGCGGGUCCCGGCUGGGGUUCGUGGGAUCUGGACCCACUCGCCCCCCGGGACGCGAGCGCGGCGGGGACCGGGCGCGCGAGGCUGCGCCGAGAGAGGGCGCCGGCCCAGGUGCGGCCUCUGGGUGUGGCCGAAGCCAGCCCAGGCGGCCCGGAUUGUCGUCCUCUGCGGAAGCGGCCCGGGCGCGGGAGCCGCGGGCGUAGCCAGCUCCGGAGCCCCGCGCCUCCGCCGCCCCGCGCGCCCUUCCUUUGUGUCUCCCAAGCAGGGGUGAACGCAGACCACUUGGAUUUGAUUUUUCCGUGCGAGUUCCCUUUUUUCCAAGUUCGGGGCCCCUCCUUCCCCCAGCGGCGCGCGCCCCCGGGGUGUCCGCCCCCUCCCCCUCCGGCCCAGCCCUGGGCGGGGCAGACGCCCUUGGAGUCGGGAGAAAAGACUAUCUGAUUUCAAAACCGACGCGACCCGAGCUGGGCUGCGGAAAUGGCGCCCAUGUCCCGGCUCCGGCCAGGUCGUGAUCAGGAGACAGACUGAGGAGCCUCUCCCCACCGCAAUCCCUUUAUACUGGGUAGGGGUUCGAAGGCACAGGGACAGAGUAUACAGGACACUGCUUGAGGCAGCGCGUCCACCCACCAUCUGUGCGACCUCAUCAAGUCACCUCUCUGAGCCUCAGUUUCCCGGUAUAAUGGAAACGGCAAUUUUAAAUGACACGUAAGUGCCUGGCACUCAUUGAGCUCAUCAAAUGAAGAGCCCCGUCUCUGGGCCCCCUUGCCCCUGAGGGAAAUGCACACACAAACCUAGAAAAUGUGCUGUAAUGCACAAUGUGGGACAGACCCAGUCACUCUCCUUUCAUUCUUCUUCCAUCGAAUAUUCUGAGGCUUCGGCGCCAGCCCUUUGCCGGCGGAUGCUGCCGAGAUGAAGACAGCAUGCUCGGCCUGGUGAAGCCAAUAAAAGAGCAGGCUCCCCUCCUGGGGCCAGGUGUCACCACAGAAGCAGGCCCUGGAAGAUGCCAGGAGCCAGCCAGCCCAGGGCCCUGUCCUACCCCCGGCCCUUCCGCGGGCGAGAGCCCAGGAUCUCCAGGUCCUGCCCUGCACUUGGAGAUUUGCUCCCUAACAGGUUUUUGGUUUUGUUUUUUUGAAUAGAGGCGGGGUUUUGCCGUGUUGCCCAGGCUGGUCUCAAACUCCUGGGCUCAAGCAAUCCUCCUGCCUCAGCCUCCCCAAAUUCUGGAAUUACAGGCGUGAGCCACAUGCCCAGUCUGUUGUUUUUCCUUUCUUUUCUUUUCUUUCUUUCUUUCUUUUUUUAGAGACGGUCUCUCUUGCCUCACUUUUUUUUUUUUUUUUUUUGAGACAGUGUCUUACUCAGUUCACCCAGGCUGGAGUGCAGUGGCGUGGUUUUGGCUCACUGCAACCUCUGCCGCCCAGGUUCGAGCAAUUCUCCUACCUCAGCCUCCCGAGUAGCUGGGAUUACAGGCACCUGCCACAGCGCCCUGCUAAUUUUUGUAUUUUUAGUAGAGACGGGGUUUCACCAUAUUGGUCAGGCUGGUCUUGAACUCCUGACCUCGUGAUCCACCUGCUUUGGCCUCCCAAAGUGCUGGGAUUACAGGUGUGAGCCACCACACCUGGCUCGCCUCACAUGUUUUUAAAAGAUCCAGUGUCCUGAUGGCUCUUGGUGCUCUUCCCAGAUGAUGGUAAAAUGCUCAGUGUGGACCAAGAGAAGCCUGACCCUGACAAACAUCCUUUUUUCUUUACACAUCUGAAUUUUGAUGAGCUCUGAAGGGAACUCGAUUUCUCCGCAGCCGUCCUGAGUUCUGUGGUGCUUAGUGUCUGAUGCCUUCAUCUUCCUUUAGUUUCAACACUGUGUAUAACUUAGUCCUCUCCAGGACCUGUCCCCCAGCUCUGGGGAGGGACCAAAGCUGUACAGUAGGUGAAUAGUGAGUAACUGGAUGAAGUGUUCUUUUGUCUCUCUGAAUGCUCCCCAGAGCCAUAAGGAAUUAAUAAUCUUGGCUACUGGGCUGGGAGCAGUGGCUCACACCUGUAAUCCCAGCACCUUGGCAAGCCAAGAUGGGAGGAUUGCUUGAGGCCAGGAGUUCGAGACCAGCCUGGGCAACAGUGAGGCCCUGUCUCUACAACAAACAAGCAAACAAACAAACAAGAACAACAAAAAAACUCAGCUACCACUUCAUGAGUAUCUAUGCUGCGCCAGGGACUACUUCAGAUAUGAGGCCUCACUCCAUCACCCAGGCUGGAUUGCAGAGACACGAUCAUAGCUCACUACAGCCUCUAACUCUUGGGUUCAAGCGAUCCUCUCACCUCAGCCUCCAUAGUUCUUAGCUGGGACUACAAGUGUGCAGCAUCACACCUGGCUAAUAAUUCCAUCCUUAACCCUCUGCGAGGGAUGCCAUUUGCCUUCUGAAUAAACCCAGACUCCUUCAGGAGGCUUACAAGGUCCUGGGCCACAUUUUUAGCCUUUCUUCCAUCCACUCCACCACAGACUUUAAGAUGCAGUAAAAAUGGUUCUCACUUCCUUGCCUUACCACAGCUGUGCCAUCCACCUGUCGUGCCCACUACCCAUCUGCCUCUUCAGGCAGGACUGUGUGGAUUGGAUGUUGCCAGAUCACAGUGGCCUGUUCACUCUCCUGGUUCCUCCUCAAGGACUGAGCACCUUAAUUGCAUGUCAGUCUUAUUGUACUUGGACUCCCUCAUGUCUACCGCGGCAUAUGUGGAGUGAGUGAGUGAGUGAAUGAAUGAAUGAAUGAAGGGGUUAAGAUUUGGACCAGCUUGUCCCUGAGGGGUCCAGUGAGUUUCGAAGAUGUACCUCAAGCAAAUAAUCAUAAUCAGGUUGCAUGCCCACCCAAUGCCAGCAGAGGAGACCAGAGACCAGCGGGCAGGUGGAAGCUGUGCCCCCAGGAGUCUAAGAAGUCUCUGGCCUGGCCAGAGGGUACUUCCAAAGCCUGUGUGAGAAGUUCCAUCUUCCCGUCCCUCAUCUCAGGCCAACUCU